UAGGGAAUCUUCGGCAAUGGACGAAAGUCUGACCGAGCAACGCCGCGUGAGUGAAGAAGGUUUUCGGAUCGUAAAACUCUGUUGUUAGAGAAGAACAAGGACGUUAGUAACUGAACGUCCCCUGACGGUAUCUAACCAGAAAGCCACGGCUAACUACGUGCCAGCAGCCGUGGUAAUACGUAGGUGGCAAGCGUUGUCCGGAUUUAUUGGGCGUAAAGCGAGCGCAGGCGGUUUCUUAAGUCUGAUGUGAAAGCCCCCGGCUCAACCGGGGAGGGUCAUUGGAAACUGGGAGACUUGAGUGCAGAAGAGGAGAGUGGAAUUCCAUGUGUAGCGGUGAAAUGCGUAGAUAUAUGGAGGAACACCAGUGGCGAAGGCGGCUCUCUGGUCUGUAACUGACGCUGAGGCUCGAAAGCGUGGGGAGCAAACAGG
rnacentral:rRNA from 1 species